GACGAACGCUGGCGGCGUGCUUAACACAUGCAAGUCGAACGGAAAGGCCCUGCUUUUGUGGGGUGCUCGAGUGGCGAACGGGUGAGUAACACGUGAGUAACCUGCCCUUGUCUUUGGGAUAACUUCAGGAAACUGGGGCUAAUACCGGAUAGGAGCUCCUGCUGCAUGGGGGGGGUUGGAAAGUUUCGGCGGUUGGGGAUGGACUCGCGGCUUAUCAGCUUGUUGGUGGGGUAGUGGCUUACCAAGGCUUUGACGGGUAGCCGGCCUGAGAGGGUGACCAGCCACAUUGGGACUGAGAUACGGCCCAGACUCCUACGGGAGGCAGCAGUGGGGAAUAUUGCACAAUGGGCGGAAGCCUGAUGCAGCAGCGCCGCGUGCGGGAUGACGGCCUUCGGGUUGUAAACCGCUUUCGCCUGUGACGAAGCGGGAGUGACGGUAAUGGGUAAAGAAGCACCGGCUAACUACGUG
rnacentral:rRNA from 1 species